UUUCUUCUUCCCGAGAGACACAAGGAGAGAGAGAUCAUGAGAUUGAGAGAUGAGAGACAGAGAGAUGCGGGGCAGAGAGAGAGAAUGCGAGAGAGUCAGAGAUGAGAUACUGAGAGUUAGAGAGAGACUGAGAGAUCGGGAGAGGGAGGAUCCGGUGGAUCCGUGAGUUGGAGACCCGGGAGAGAACUUGCGAAACUAGAGAACCCGAGAGUAGCCAAGGGAGGUCUGAUCCUCCAUGGGUCGGCGCCGGUGAAGCAAAUGGAGCCGAUUUCUGGCGAGCCUGUGAUCUGCAACCGCCAGACCCGGGAGUGAAACCCGUGAUCCGUGUGUGUAACCGCUGAACCCGUGGGGACCCGAUCCUCCAUGAUCGGUGGCCGGGACUGAAAUCUGGUGGUUGGAGGCCAUUCUCUGGUGGUUUUCGUCGGUGGUGGACUACCUAGUAACCCGAUGUAGCCGUGAAACCCGAGCAACCCGUGACCAAUACCCAUGUGACCCGAUCCUUCGUGGGUCCAAUUCCUGGUGGCCUGAGCAGAGACGUGGCAAGGGGAAGGGCCGAUCGACGGUGGGUCAUCACCGAUGACGAUCUUCGGUGCGAUUUUUGGCGGUCUAGAGGCGAUUUUCGAUAAAUUUUUCUGUGUUGAACGAAAAUCCUUUAUGUAAAAGCUCGAUCCUGACGCUAAUGACAAGUUCAGAUAAUGCAGUAAGACGAUGUCAUUUCCUUGUAAGGGCGUAGACCUUGCUAAGAGCAAUAGAUCAUUGUGGACUGACCAAAUCUUUACUUUGUAUAGUAUGUUUCUUUUUGGAGUUCAUGAUAAUGUAAAGGAUGAUUAUGGGCACAGACAAUAAAAUAAGAAGUUAAAAUCUAUAUGUUGUAAAUGCACGCUUCCAUUUAAAUGUUUUUAGCACUCAAGUUCGCGUUUCCCCUUAUUUCCCAAAAUGGGGGUGUGACAGUGAUGCCCAUGAAUACCUGAGCAAAGUUGAUCCUAGCAGGUGGUCCAGAGCAUGGUUUAGUGAGUACCCAAAGUGUGAUCUUCUUGUCAACAACAUAUGUGAGUGUUUUAAGUCCUAUAUUUUAAAGGCUCGUGAUAAGCCUAUUUUGACAAUGCUUGAGAUGAUAAGGAAAAAGUUCAUGAGGAGAUAUCAGGUUAAUAAGAAUGACAUUCAAAAAUUGUCUGGUAAGUUAUGCCCUAAAGUUGCAAAGAAGUUGGAGGCAAUUGGGCUAGCAGCACUGGACUAUGUUGCCCUAUAUGCUGGUGAUGACAUGUUUGAAGUUAUUGUUCCAGAUGGCAGAUAGUUUGUAGUGAACUUGGCUAGAAAAAGUUGUGGUUGCAGGAUGUGAGAAAUGACUAGAAUCCCUUGUUCCCAUGCAUUUUCUUGUAUACUAUACGAUUAUGGGAAUCUAGAGGAUUAUGUGGAUGAGUACUAUACUAUCGAGAGGUACAAGAAAGCAUAUGCUCCAAUUAUAUACACAAUGCCCAGUGAGGGACAAUGGAUAAAAACCCAGCAUGACAACUUAGACCCUCAACAGUAAGAGUGGCCCCGGGUAUACCCAAGAAGUUAAGAAAAAGGGGUCCUGAUGAGAGUAGAGAUUCAAAAAAUCCACAUAAAGUGAGGAAAUUUGGAGUAAGGAUGAGAUGCUCCAAGAGUAGGGGCACGAGGCACAAUAAUAGGGUGUGUUGAAUGAAUAGGAGUGAAGCAUUAAAUGAUACCACAAGUUUUGAGUUGCCUACCCUACCUGCAGCAAGUGUAAGUUUUUUUAUUUGCCUUAUUGUCCUUAAUUUUGUCAUGGACUAUAUGCCAGCUUAUUAAAUGUCUUCUAUGUUUUAUUUUAUUUCGACACAAAGUGUUGGUUUCCAGCACUCCUACAUUGACCAAAUCCAAACAUAGGGCCACACAAAAGGGUACAAGGACAAAUCAACCAAUUGGUGCUAGUUGAUUUGCUGAUGAUAGAGGACUCACACCACCUCUUGUACUUGCUACAAGAAUUCUCCCACCUCAGGCAUGGGGUAGAGUGGCACAAGUGCCAAAGACAGCCACGACAGGACUUGCAUCAAGGACAUGACAAUCAGAUAGGGUCAAGGGUAUUUUUCGCAGUGGUCCUUAAAAAACCGGUCCCCCUAUACACAUUGAUCUAACUGAAUGAGAUUUAGCAAGUGAUGUUGGUACUGCUACAAGAGGUGGCCUUGCAACUAGAGGAGCUGGAACCAGUAGAGCAAUGGUUGCAAUUGAUUCAGCAUCCAAAAUGAAGGGCAAACGUGUGGUCACAACUAUUGAAAAGGGAAUUGAAAUUAUGGAAGCUAAGAAGAGAAGAAUGAAACCAGAUUGGAAACAUUAAUUUGAUACACAGGACUUUGGAUGUUUUUGUUGUGUACACAAGUUUCACAUAUUUUGUUAUAUGUGUGGACAAAAUUAUAUUUAUGGUAUGUGAUUAUGGACAAUUACAAUAGAAAAGUUGACUGCUUGCCUCAAAAAAUUUUAAGAUUGAAAA